CCCUUAGAUGUUCUGGGCCGCACGCGCGCUACACUGAUGCAUUCAACGAGUCUAAAACCUGCUCUGAUAGGGGUGGGUAAUCUUUUGAAUGUGCAUCGUGAUUGGGAUAGAUGAUUGCAAUUUUUCAUCUUCAACGAGGAAUGCCUAGUAAACGCAAGUCAUCAGCUUGCAUUGAUUACGUCCCUGCCCUUUGUACACACCGCCCGUCGCUCCUACCGAUUGAAUGAUCCGAUGAAUAUCAUGGAUUGAGGAUGCAAGUAGGUUCGCCUAUCUUCAUCUUCGAGAAGUGAAGUAAAUCGUAUCAUUUAGAGGAAGGAGAAGUCGUAACA
rnacentral:rRNA from 1 species